rnacentral:lncRNA from 1 species
AACGCUUUGCACCAAUCCCAUGACCCAAAAGCAUGCCGAUACAAAUGGUUCAAUACAGCAAGAUCCAUAAUAACAAGGGUACUGAGUUCUAUAGGAGACUGAAGAUGAAGUAGUUCACUGAACUUGAAGGUCCAUCAAGUUGGUUGAAGAUGUGGAGUGAAAGAUUAUUAAAAUAUUCAUAAUCAAAGCUUGGAGAGAUAAUGGAAAUAUU